CUUGACUGUAGCCUGGAAUUGGGUUCGGGCUUUUCUUGCGCAGACUAGGUGGGAGGCUAUGAAGAUUUCCUUCCGGGGAAGUUGGAGCCAACAGUGAGAGACCACUCUGGAAAGGCUAGAAUCCUCAUGGUGAUCCUUGAAUCAGGACACUUGACAGUUUCAGGCGGGCAGUUUUUCUGGGGCGGAAACCUCAUAAAAGGUAACUGAGGUGCGCAAAGGUUCCCUCAGUCUGGACGGAAAUCAGACAUUGAGUGUAAAGGCAAAAGGGGGCUUGACUGCAAGACCUACAAGUCGAGCAGGAGCGAAAGCUGGCCUUAGUGAUCCGACGGUUCCAUGUGGAAGGGCCGUCGCUCAACGGAUAAAAGUUA
rnacentral:rRNA from 1 species